UUUAAUUUAUUAUGUCAGAAAAAAAUAAGAUGAAAAUUUAUUAUCGAUCAUCGCUUAUUGGUCUCGUCAUGCUCACAAUUCUUCUGCUUGGAGUAGUGGCGAAUGCUCAAAAAGGAGGACCAGUCCGAAAACAAUGUGUUGAACAAUACCCGGACCCAAAUGGAAAAUGUGUUAUCGACCAAUGUAAAGCCCAAUGUGC